AUACACGGCAGAUUGAAAUCACCAACUAGCCUAUUGCACAGCGAUAUAAGGCAAGUAGACGUACAGGAGGCUAUAAAACGCAAACACAAAUAAUCACCGUUAGAUGAUUAUAAACAAACUGGUUGCGCUUCGCUGCGCUUUUCAACUGUGACGGCUGUGCGUGCGCGCUCCCGUGUAUCGGAAAUCAGUUUCUGGCAAAAAUCACAUUUUGGCACAACACCGGCUCCAUUCAGCUGUGACCACCAGAGAUCUGCUGGAUCAGAUCUCCCUCAACCGAACCGAUCAACCUACAGCAGGACAUCGAAGCGGUGCCAGAAGACCAAACGACACUCCGGAACCGACAAAGUCCAGAGGCGUGGUAAAGCGUUACAGGCCCGCAUAGUCCCAGCUCAUCGCGGUUCACUACAGCGAGAACCAGCUGAGUUUGCUCUGCCGAUCUGGGUGAUGUACUAACUGCUGAAUUAACUCAAUCCGCCAGUUUAUUCUUUUACAAAUCAUUAGAAUUCUUACUCCAAAUUACCGUUUACCUCGUCAGGGUAGUUAUCUGGCUCUUCCUCAUCAUAUUCCUGUCUUAAUAUGCUAAUUUGAACUCACACAUACACACACACACCCAGUCUCUCAUACACACGCACACACAUUCCACUGACAGGUACGCACACACACACACACGUAGUCAUGCAUGCAAACACACACACCCCUAUGCACUGUAAAUAGGAUUUCACUUGUCAUUAGCCAAUAGAAUAGCAAAUAAAUGCCUAAUUUUAGACCAAAUUAAAGCCUUGUGUGUUUCUCUGUGCAAGAACGUGGUCAAUUUUAACCGAGAAUUCUAGCAUUUAAGAUAUGAGAUUGAUCAAAUUUAAAUUAAUACAUUUUUAAUUAAUGUUAAUUUAUUAAUUCCUCUAAAGAGGUGGUGCCCUAAUAAACAAGUGCAGUUAUAUUAUGUAGUAUCUCCUACACACUAAAUAAUAAAAUAUUUGGCUGCAAGACUAAAAUAUGCAUUAAUCUCAUAAAAUGUUGACACCCUUUCCUGGAGUUAAACAAUGAGAAUAAAUGCAGACAGAGAGAAAAAAAAAAUCACACGAUCUGUUCAACUGAGACUGUAUGUGAUUUUUCCAGGGGUUUGCUUGCAUCAUGAGGGAAAACAACAACUUUUGUCAAAAAAUCACUGAGGUCAUUAUUUUAGGAAGGUGAAGACGUUGAAGAUGAUUCUAGAGCCGGAAUGAUUAGUUGAUCAGUAUGGUAGCAGAUGGGCUAUGAAAAUUUUAAUGGACAUUUUUCAAUGUUUUGACCUUUAUUUAAGAUAAAAUAACUAUUUGUUUAAUUGAGUGCUUGGUCUCUUUAAAUGGCUUUAAUUUGAGUGGGUUUACAUCAAUCUAGAAAGAAUUGUGUUGAAGAUAUAGACCUUUUUAACACUUUGUCCCAGUGUUUAAGAAUUCAAAAGUAACUGGACACAUACACAUGACAAAUUGAUUUGAAUAUUUUUUGGAAAAUUUUUGGCAGUUAAUGCCAAAAGACAGGGUGAGUGCACCAUAUUUUCAUCUUUUCAUGCGUUGAUGGCCAACCUUACGCUGCCUCCUGGAACCAGUCAGUGAAAAUCCAGAUCCAGUCAUGAAGCUGGACUCCCUUUAAAACAGAGGAAAGAAGAACGGACAGACAGCUGUGGUCCUCGCAUGUUUCUUCUAUGUUUAAUUCACUGGAUACCUAAUUAUUGAUCAGAAAGGGAGUGAAAUGUGUACAGUCAUGGACCAUAUGUUUAUUCUUGAUAGCAGCAGACAAACCAGAUCUGAACAAGGACAGCGUUGGAUGAAAAAAGAUAUAAAUGUUAUUUAUCAGAUUAGCUAUUGAAAUUAAGGUUGAUUACUAAAACCUGUACAUUGUUGUAUAUUUGAGUGUUGAAGAGAAUCAGGUGAGUUAGAGUUUUGCUUGAGCCUUCUUGUCUUCUGUUUUGCCAUCAGCUGAUGAUUUGUAUCUUCCCUGGUGAUAUUUUCUUCUGGCCUUCACAGCAGACACCGUGAGCUCUUGCUUGUUGUGGCACCUCAUUACCUUUUGUCUUCACCAGGAGGACUGCAGCUCAGCUGGACCGAGACCAGCUAAAUGGUUUGGCCACUUGAGAAUAUUUCACCCCUUUUACCCCUGCGUUUCUUUGGCUGUAUGUUUAGAUCCUGUCAAAUAAUAAAAUGUCAUCCAGUGAAAUCCCAUUGCUUAUAUAAGCAGUGAAAUCAACAGUGGCGGCUUGUUAAUAGGGGGCGCUAGAUUUGCCAGCUUUUUUUCCAGAUCACCCAAGCGUACAGCUGUUCUUGAUAAAAUGGUAGCCCAUAGACUGCCAACAUCCAGCAAUGUCAGAUGGAACUUUCACAGCCGAGCCAUCAACGCUGUGUUUGAGCACAGAGAGGAUCUCAUUCAGUGUUUUGAGAACAUACAAGACUUAGGUGGCUUUGAUGCCAGUACCAUCAGAGAGGCAGGAGCCAUGGCCAUGCUGCUGGAACAUCAGGACUUUAAGUUCUUUCUGGAACUUUUUCACCACAUCAUGCCACGUGUGGACCUCCUCUAUGCAAAGCUCCAGAAGAAGAACAUAGAUGCAGUCCACAUAAAAGUGAGCAUCCAGCAGUUUGAACAGGACAUCGAAAACAUCAGAAAUCCUCUCCAUUCCGUGGAUGAGCAAAGAAGUGGCUGUCCGACAGCAAAGAGGCGUCGGGCACUCAGUUCAGAGGAUCGUCAAAGGGUUGCAGAAGAGGGGUUGGGAGUGUGGUGUUGUUUGGUGGGGAGCCUAAAGCCCACUCCGAUGCUCAGCUGGACCCAUGGGAAAGAGUUCUUCAAGAGCCACUUGGACAACCCAAGUACUUGCUAGCAGACAAUGUUGUAAAAAAUCCAUCAAGUAUCAUUGAAUGGUUGUUGUUAGUGAUGCUUACCAUUGCCUGUAGCUUCCAAUAGGAUAUUAAACGUUACUGUAUGAGCAUUACAGUGUUGGGCCUUUUGUUUUUUGAACGUCAACUGAAACUAACUCAACACUCCUCAGUUCUAACUGGUGUUUUUUUUUUAGUAUGCCAGAGUUCACAUGACAUAUAAAUGUAUUUUCCUGCAUAAUUCUUCCAUUUCUAAGAAGAUGCUGACAAUUUUUGCUUGUCGUUGUAGAAAAAUAGUGGGAGUAAGUGGUGCUACUGCCCAAUUUAAAUAUUGCAGGAGAGUCAGCCAACAUUAACUACACUUGUGCUUUGACUGCAGAGACAUGUCAAAAUGUCUGCCGUGAAAAUGAUCUGUGUAUCAUUUUGAAACUAAGAUGGCUCAGACAGAAUGACAUGUUGUAUGGCUGGAAUCAAUCAAUAAUAAUCUGGUCAGUUCAUUUCUUUGCCUUUAUGUUAAAUGCACUACCAUAAUUCUAAAUUCCCACUAUUGGAAAUAGGUGUAUAAAUGUUUUGUUUGUGAUUGUAUUAGGGUUCUGACAUUUUUUUCUCUGAAUUUUGAAUUUUUAUUAGUUCAAAUAAUGUACAGCUUUGAAAAAAAACUUUCUUACACAUAAUUACAGAUACUUGUUAUAUAUAUGGUGAAACAGGUCAGGUGGGGAGAAUAAUGAUGAAAGGUUAUGAAACAAAAGCAAAUAUUUUUAAGAAUCCCACUGUGGCAGUCAGAAUUUCACUUUAAAGGGCUUUUGCCUGUUUCAAAGCAAAGUGAAUCUGCUUUGAUGAAUUAAGCUGGUCUCUUAGGGACUUUAUUAACAAUGUAACCUGCAUCAAAGAAGGAAGUCUGAUUGUGAAGCUGGAGACAAAGAUAAACUCCCUCCAGCUGAACUCAGUCUGUGUGGACAUGCAUGACAUAUUCUAAGUUCUUUGAUUGUCUAAUAACAUGCCAGAUGUAUCUUAGGGAAUUGUUGCUUGAAAUGGAAACUGUAAAGUUAUUAACACUAUGCCAUAAAUGAGAAUAAAACAUGACUUAAGAUUUUUUUCAUCAA